GAAAGGUAGGUUACCUUCUCUUGAAGGAAACUUGGGGCAGCUAGGCGUGGUCAAAAAGGGGCUUAACCCUUGGCCAUCCACUAAAACCUCACUGUGAAGAAAGCUUAGCCAAAGUCACCAUGCAACUAGCCUUUACUUGAAGAACAACCUUAUGACCUCAUGGAUGACUCAAGCAUGACAAGCCGAGUAGGAGGUGUCAUCUUGCAUGAAGCUUAGCCCACAGUAUGCUGUCCAAGUUGGAGAAAAACGUUGUUGAGCAUGCAGCCAUGUACAAGGCCAAACCACCCA
rnacentral:lncRNA from 1 species